CCUACGGGAGGCAGCAGUGAGGAAUAUUGGUCAAUGGGCUUACGCCUGAACCAGCCAAGUCGCGUGAGGGAAGACGGCCCUAUGGGUUGUAAACCUCUUUUGUCAGGGAGCAAUUGGCGCUACGUGUAGCGUUAUCGAGAGUACCUGAAGAAAAAGCAGCGGCUAACUCCGAGCCAGCAGCCGAGGUAAUACGGAGGAUGGGAGCGUUAUCCGGAUUGAUUGGGUUAAAAGGGUGCGUAGGCGGAAUGCCAAGUCAGCGGUAAAAUCGCGGGGCUCAACCUCGCUCCGCCGUUGAAACUGGCGUUCUUGAGUGGGCGAGAGGUAUGCGGAAUGCGUGGUGUAGCGGUGACAUGCAUAGAUAUCCCGCAGAACUCCGAUUGCGAAGGCAGCAUACCGGCGCCCAACUGACGCUGAGGCACGAAAGCGUGGGUAUCGAACAGGAUUAGAUACCCUUGUAGUC
rnacentral:rRNA from 1 species